rnacentral:rRNA from 1 species
GACGAACGCUGGCGGCGUGCCUAAUACAUGCAAGUCGUGCGGACCUUGUUGAAAGCUUGCUUUUAAAAGGUUAGCGGCGGACGGGUGAGUAACACGUGGGCAACCUGCCUGUAAGACUGGGAUAACGCCGGGAAACCGGGGCUAAUACCAGAUCGUUUUUUCCUCCGCAUGGAGGAAAAAGGAAAGGCGGCUUCGGCUGCCACUUACAGAUGGGCCCGCGGCGCAUUAGCUAGUUGGCGGGGUAAUGGCCCACCAAGGCAACGAUGCGUAGCCGACCUGAGAGGGUGAUCGGCCACAUUGGGACUGAGACACGGCCCAAACUCCUACGGGAGGCAGCAGUAGGGAAUCUUCCGCAAUGGACGAAAGUCUGACGGAUCAACGCCGCGUGAGUGAAGAAGGCCUUCGGGUCGUAAAACUCUGUUGCCGGGGAAGAACAAGUGCCGUUCGAACAGGGCGGCGCCUUGACGGUACCCGGCCAGAAAGCCACGGCUAACUACGUG